CAGCCGCCGCGGGAAUACGUAGGGUGCAAGCGUUGUCCGGAAUUAUUGGGCGUAAAGAGCUCGUAGGCGGCUUGUUGCGUCGACUGUGAAAACCUGGGGCUCAACCCCGGGCCUGCAGUCGAUACGGGCAAGCUAGAAUUCGGUAGGGGAGACUGGAACUCCUGGUGUAGCGGUGAAAUGCGCAGAUAUCAGGAAGAACACCGGUGGCGAAGGCGGGUCUCUGGGCCGAUAUUGACGCUGAGGAGCGAAAGCGUGGGGAGCAAACAGGAUUAGAUACCCCCGUAGUCCCUGUCUCUUAUAC
rnacentral:rRNA from 1 species